rnacentral:misc_RNA from 1 species
GAUGAAGAACGCAGCGAAAUGCGAUAAGUAAUGCGAAUUGCAGAAUUCCGUGAGUCAUCGAAUCUUUGAACGCACAUUGCGCCCUCUGGUAUUCCGGAGGGCAUGCCUGUCUGAGCGUCAUUUCAACCAUCAAGCCCCCGGCUUGUGUUGGGGACCUGCGGCUGCCGCAGGCCCUGAAAAGCAGUGGCGGGCUCGCUGUCACACCGAGCGUAGUAGCAUACAUCUCGCUCUGGGCGUGCUGCGGGUUCCGGCCGUUAAACCACCUUCAUAACCCAAGGUUGACCUCGGAUCAGGUAGGAAGACCCGCUGAACUUAAGCAUAUCAAUAAGCGGAGGA